UCUGGCUUAUAGCCAAGCGGUCUCGUUAGAGUCCCCAACUUAAUGCUGGUAACUAACGACGAGGGUUGCGCUCGUUGCGGGACUUAACCCAACAUCUCACAACACGAGCUGACGACAGCCAUGCAGCACCUGUCACUGCGUCCCCGAAGGGAACCUCUGCUUUCACAGAGUAGCGCAGGAUGUCAAGCCUAGGUAAGGUUCUUCGCGUAGCAUCGAAUUAAACCACAUGCUCCACCGCUUGUGCGGGCCCCCGUCAAUUCCUUUGAGUUUUAAUCUUGCGACCGUAAUCCCCAGGCGGGAUACUUAACGCGUUAGCUACGUCACCGAAGCGAUUAGUUGCUCCGACGACUAGUAUCCAUCGUUUAGGGCGUGGACUAC
rnacentral:misc_RNA from 1 species